rnacentral:rRNA from 1 species
GAUGAACGCUAGCUACAGGCUUAACACAUGCAAGUCGAGGGGCAGCAUGGUCUUAGCUUGCUAAGGCCGAUGGCGACCGGCGCACGGGUGAGUAACACGUAUCCAACCUGCCGUCUACUCUUGGACAGCCUUCUGAAAGGAAGAUUAAUACAAGAUGGCAUCAUGAGUCCACAUGUUCACAUGAUUAAAGGUAUUCCGGUAGACGAUGGGGAUGCGUUCCAUUAGAUAGUAGGCGGGGUAAUGGCCCACCUAGUCUUCGAUGGAUAGGGGUUCUGAGAGGAAGGUCCCCCACAUUGGAACUGAGACACGGUCCAAACUCCUACGGGAGGCAGCAGUGAGGAAUAUUGGUCAAUGGGCGAGAGCCUGAACCAGCCAAGUAGCGUGAAGGAUGACUGCCCUAUGGGUUGUAAACUUCUUUUAUAAAGGAAUAAAGUCGGGUAUGCAUACCCGUUUGCAUGUACUUUAUGAAUAAGGAUCGGCUAACUCCGUGCCAGCAGCCGCGGUAAUACGGAGGAUCCGAGCGUUAUCCGGAUUUAUUGGGUUUAAAGGGAGCGUAGAUGGAUGUUUAAGUCAGUUGUGAAAGUUUGCGGCUCAACCGUAAAAUUGCAGUUGAUACUGGAUAUCUUGAGUGCAGUUGAGGCAGGCGGAAUUCGUGGCGUAGCGGUGAAAUGCUUAGAUAUCACGAAGAACUCCGAUUGCGAAGGCAGCCUGCUAAGCUGCAACUGACAUUGAGGCUCGAAAGUGUGGGUAUCAAACAGGAUUAGAUACCCUGGUAGUCCACACGGUAAACGAUGAAUACUCGCUGUUUGCGAUAUACAGCAAGCGGCCAAGCGAAAGCGUUAAGUAUUCCACCUGGGGAGUACGCCGGCAACGGUGAAACUCAAAGGAAUUGACGGGGGCCCGCACAAGCGGAGGAACAUGUGGUUUAAUUCGAUGAUACGCGAGGAACCUUACCCGGGCUUAAAUUGCAGAUGAAUUACGGUGAAAGCCGUAAGCCGCAAGGCAUCUGUGAAGGUGCUGCAUGGUUGUCGUCAGCUCGUGCCGUGAGGUGUCGGCUUAAGUGCCAUAACGAGCGCAACCCUUGUUGUCAGUUACUAACAGGUUCCGCUGAGGACUCUGACAAGACUGCCAUCGUAAGAUGUGAGGAAGGUGGGGAUGACGUCAAAUCAGCACGGCCCUUACGUCCGGGGCUACACACGUGUUACAAUGGGGGGUACAGAGGGCCGCUACCACGCGAGUGGAUGCCAAUCCCCAAAACCUCUCUCAGUUCGGACUGGAGUCUGCAACCCGACUCCACGAAGCUGGAUUCGCUAGUAAUCGCGCAUCAGCCACGGCGCGGUGAAUACGUUCCCGGGCCU